UACGUAGGGUGCAAGCGUUAAUCGGAAUACUGGGCGUAAAGCGUGCGCAGGCGGUUGUGCAAGACAGAUGUGAAAUCCCCCGGGCUUAACCUGGGAAUUGCAUUUGUGACUGCACGGCUAGAGUGUGUCAGAGGGGGGGUAGAAUUCCACGUGUAGCAGUGAAAAUGCGUAGAUAUGUGGAGGAAUACCGAUGGCGAAGGCAGCCCCCCUGGGAUA
rnacentral:rRNA from 1 species